rnacentral:rRNA from 1 species
CUCGAGCGAGUGGCGGACGGGUGAGUAACGCGUGGGUAACCUGCCUUACAGAGGGGAUAACAGUCUGAAAAGACUGCUAAUACCGCAUAAGCACACAGUACCGCAUGGUACAGGGUGAAAAGAUUUAUCACUGUAAGAUGGACCCGCGUCUGAUUAGGCCAGUUGGCAGGGUAACGGCCUACCAAAGCGACGAUCAGUAGCCGACCUGAGAGGGUGAUCGGCCACAUUGGGACUGAGACACGGCCCAAACUCCUACGGGAGGCAGCAGUGGGGGAUAUUGCACAAUGGAGGAAACUCUGAUGCAGCCGACGCCGCGUGAGUGAAGAAGUAUUUCGGUAUGUAAAGCUCUAUCAGCAGGGAAGAUAAUGACAGUACCUGACCAAGAAGCCCCGGCUAACUACGUGCCAGCCGCCGC